rnacentral:rRNA from 1 species
UACAGAGGUGCCAAGCGUUAGGCGGAAUCACUGGGCUUAAAGCGCGCGUAGGCGGAUGUUUACGUGUCUUGUGAAAUCCCACGGCUCAACCGUGGAACUGCUGGGCAUACUGGACAUCUCGAGGCACUCAGGGGCGAGCGGAACAAGUGGUGGAGCGGUGAAAUGCGUAGAUAUCACUUGGAACGCCAAUGGUGAAGGCAGCUCGCUGGGGGUGUCCUGACGCUGAGGCGCGAAAGCCAGGGGAGCGAACGGG